rnacentral:lncRNA from 1 species
AUGAGUUUUUUUUCUCCAAAGCUGACACAAAAAAAGUGUUUACCUUCUUCAGGGCUUCCAAGUUCAACUAUUUUGCGAAAAACAUCUCCGUUAGGCAGUUCUCUCCAUCGCAAGUCUUGGAUGAAAUGUCCUUUUUAUUCCUCUUCUCUUCACUAAUCAAAUUGCCCUGAUGUACAACAAAUAUUAUUACAUUACAUUUAUGCACCAACAAAAAUCUUACAUUAUAAUUUUACAUUACAAUAGUAAAACAUUGUAGAGUUUAAAUCUAGCCUAAUAUAACUUGACAUCAUAUUUUUCAUUCAUAAGCAUAAAGCUAUCUAUCAUUCAAGAAAAACAUGGCCCAUGAUCUAAGAUAAUGUUAUUGAUAUACGGUCAUAUAUUAAAAAGUACUAGGGUUAUUUACAGUAAGCUUGACUAUUUUAGUUUUCUUGGGACUUCCAUCCCUCUCCUGUUGCAUCAUCAUGGCUGGUCCUCUUCAUCCUGACCCACACUGACCUUAGAAAACAAACACAACAGUACAAAGUUGUACAAAUAGUUCAUGAACACCUUACAGUACUUGAUUUCCAUACUGUCAACGGGAUGCAAAACCUAACAACACACUGAACAAGGGACUCUGAACAACAGACUAAACAUGAGGAGGGUCUUUUUCAUAAAUGUGGAACAAAAAAUUGUGUACCUUCUUCAGGGCUUCCAAGUUUAACUGUUUUGAGAAAAACGUCUCCAUUCAGCAGUUCUCUCCAGUGUGGGCCUAGGAUGAAGUUCCCGUCCUUAGCAAACUCCUUUCUGAUCUAUGAGAAAAUGAUCAAGCCAGAUAAAGCCAGCAGCAGAAUUUAAGUCAGGAAUUUCAGUUUAUUAAUAUGACCAAUAGGAACAUAAACUUGAGAUCAUGUGAGAACAGUGAAAUGAGUGAGCAUGACAUUGAUUUCUGAUGUGGGAGAUGUAGGACUACUGUACCUGCUCCAACAUCUGUUCCUUUACCACUGGGUCAUUGAGGUCAGCUCCUGUAUUAGAUUUCAGAGACAUCCUUACAAUGGUCUGCUUGAUUCUCUUUUCUAGAGGGACAUAGAAAUGGUAAGAUGAGGCAGCCACUCAAAUGAGAUUCAGCUUAUUUACAAUAAAUACGUAGCUUUUCUUCCAAUGUCCUUUAAAGGCUGUAAAUGACUUUUGAACUGUGUAGUAGCAACCCUCUGUGUUCUAUGUUUACCAGUAUGGAAAUAUUAUCUCAUAACAGAAGCCACAUGAGCACAUACAGUACAUUUGUCAAAAAAUAAUGAUUUUAUUUUAGAAAAAAUUAUAUAUUUUCAAUAUUCAUGUUUUAGAUUUUACAACAUUCAUAAACGUAUGUAAGAAAUUUGAUAUUGAAAUCAAAAUACUACUCAUAUAACAGAGCAAGCGGUAAAGCUUCAUAUGACACCAACUUUUACUUUGUGGCGCCUACAGAUGAAAGUAUGGAGUCCUAAAGGAGCCCUGGGUGAGGCAUAAAAUGUCACAAAUAUUCCAACUUCAGUUUCUC